CUUUCACAUACCAAGCACUUUUGCAAGCUGAAAUGCUUUAGGGAUCUGAAGUAUUCAUUUAACACAAGACCAACAUGCCUUAACGUGUAACAAAGUAAUAGUUUAAAAAGUAACACGCAGCAUCCCAUGACUUCUAGUAUGCAAACACACACUACAGAUCAUGGGAUGCCAAUUGUUGCAGAAGUACACAAAGUCACUAAACCACUGUAGCGGUUAGUCCAUGCAGUGUGUUGAGAAAGUAUAUUUUUUUUCACUAUAGACUUACUAGUGAUUUUGCCAACACAGAGAAUACAUUGUAUAUAAAACCUAAAAACAGACUUCACGAGAACAAUAGCAGGAUUAUUUUCUAAAGUGAGAAUUGCCAGGAAUACAAAGUGAAUUUCAAAUUUAUGACCGAAAUAGCUAAACUGCAAGCAUAGCGCACAUGUAGAAUUUGUCAAAUUCAGCUAUGAUGGUCUUAGACUUGAAAUUCACUUUGAAUUGCCAACAAUUAUCACGUUUAGUUAUCAACCCUGUAAGAGCUAGCAAAUCGUAAACAGCUUGUCCUUCAAUUAUUCAGGUUUCAGGAACGUUUUAGCUAUCUUGUGCCAUUACAGGGAGAACCUAUGCCAGUUGCAACUUGCACAUCAGACUAAUUACACUAAAAGGGACAGUACAUGUUCAAAACUGGCAGUACAAGAGACACAACUACUCUGUUCAAAACUGGCAGUACAAGAGACACAACUACCCCAGACUAUCAUUGUGGCCUUCAGUGUAAACCUCACAACAUUGGGAGAUGUGAAAUAAGGACAUUGGGAUCCACCAGGGAAAUGCUAGUGAUGUAACUUGUUUCAUAUGUGAUGUUGAGAAGGAAGGGAAAGUCCUUAAAAAGGGUGACGAAAUGGUAUUAAUGCACGCCAGGCUAACAGCCUCACUAAGAGCAGCCCAUGCGUAAAGUAAUCUGCUCGGCACAAGCAUGCCUAUGCUGAUAGAGGACAUUUUCUUUGUGUCCCCGUAUUCAGGACACCAGGGAACUAAACCUGUAACGGCUCGACAGGAGCCUGAAUUCAGGACGGUCCCAUCAUAUCAGCAAUAGAGAAAUAGAUGUUUGCAGGUAGAUAAGGCUGUGUAAGAAUUCUGCU